UCCCUGGUGGUCUAGUGGCUAAGGCUCUGCACUCCUAAUGCAGGCGAUCCGGGUUUGAUUCCUGGUCAGGGAA
rnacentral:tRNA from 1 species